AAAAUUCUGUGCACAGGAGUCCGGACGAAGACGCAGGACGCAAACAGCUGUCCGGACUGCUGAGCGUGGAUGGACUCAUGCCAGUCGCAUUAAAGGCCCCGUGACGAAACCUCAAUGGAAAGUAAUUAGUACUCCAGUUAAAGCUGCAAAGUGGGAAGCCUAUAUAAACAGGCAGAAAGCCCGAAACAGCUGUUCUCCUGAAGAAUUCCCUUGCUGCCGAGAAGAUGGUACACCCCGUGGCUCGAAGCAACCGAGUCGACGGGCGAGGCAGAGGAGGAACAAACCGUGGGGAAAAGGAUCAGAACAAUGGGACGCAAAAGCAGCAAUGGUCUAACUUCCCCAGGACUGGUAAAAAUAUACUUAAAUUGGCAAA